UAUCUCUAAUAUAAGGAUGUUAUAUUGAAGCGGUUAUUUUGUCACCUUUGAAGUAGUUCCUGGUCGUUGCCGGUUGUGGCUGUUCAGUUGGGAAGUAUCUUUUGUCAUGAAAAAUAAACGGUGAGCCAUCCUCAGAUUUUCUGCGCUCUUUUAACAUCAGAGUUGGUUGCCUAGCCUAGCUCUUGUCUUAGAUGCAGUCAAUACCUGGGUUGAAAUAAACUAAGCUCAAGUUGUGAAUGUUUGCCGUUUCGGUAAUGCUUUUUCCCCCAAUUGAUUUUUAAAUGUGUCUUCAUUUAUUAUG
rnacentral:lncRNA from 1 species